UUGGUUAUCCUGGUGAGUGUUCAAGAAGUGAGGCAUGCUGAUAUAUAAAGGCUCUUUUAGAAUAUAGUUUGAUGGUGGUAAUAUGUUAAGUUGCUAUUCUGGCGUGGACAUAUUUCCUGGUUACUUAUUUCUGGUAUAAAAACCCAACCUUGCCAACAUCCAAACCAGUUGCAAUUUUGUUGUUUGCUGGAGUCAUGGCAGCCUUGCUACAUCAGGAGUCCCGGCGCAUGUACUCUUGGUGGUGGGACAGCCACAUUAGCCCGAAGAAUUCAAAAUGGCUUCAGGAAAAUCUUACAGGUAUAUUCCAAUAUCUUCUAUAAUUUUGAUGGGUAACCAUGCUUGAGCAACAGCUGUUUAUGAAUCAUAAUAAUCAUCUAUUUGUCUCACAUACAUACAUUUAUUUGUAUAUGGUUUGUUUGUUUUGAGGAAGUAGCAACUCUCAUUAGUAGUUUAAAAGCAAAGUUAGAUUUCUUCGUGGAUUCCCCAACUUAGUGCGCCCUCAUCACCUGGAAUGUUUAACUGUCCUUACCACAUAAUUUGAAGAUGACUUUGGGUUCAUGUUGAUAAAGAGUAGAUGACUUUCCCUGAUCUUUGAAAAACCAGGAAUUGUUUUGUAUAUGAACUGAAACCCAACCUAGUUCAAAUAAUUUAUCGCUUGAACCGUUCAUUCAAUCUCUUUCGCUAUUUAAACAUCUAUUAUUAUUAUUAUCAUCAAUAUUAUGUUUGGCUUCUGUUAAAAGCCAUCAAGUCUUCUCAGGUCAGGUAUUAGGUUAUCACAAAGACCUAAAAUAACCAAGCAAUCUUUUAUAUUAGCUGACAUUACAACAUGAAACAUAUUGUACAUUUGGAUGAUCCGAGGAUGCCAUCUUGCUGUUCCGAGGUUUCCAAUCUAACUGUUAUAUUUUUAAGAGAAGUAUAACUCUGAUGGUUGUCAGCUUGCUUCAUCAAAAAAGCAUUUGCUUUGCAGUUUUUUUUUUCUUUUUUUAACACCCAUUUGAAUGGUAGUUUUUGUUAUCUGAUCAGAACCCAUUACUGGAUUGAUUCAUUUGGUAAGUUUUUGAUCUUGCUGUUGUUGAAGAAUCGUUUUUGGAGCUGUUUCUGAAGUGGCACUUUUGCUUAUGGUGUAUUCUUUUUCUGUGUUUCUCAGAGUUGUAGCUUUUCUUGGUGAUCAGAUCUUGUCUUCAUUUCUGUCCUUUUGGUAAGUACUUUGAUCUGAUGAUUGAUUUGAAAGCUAUAUAUGCAGUUCCUUGUUGAGUCGAUUGUUCAUGCAAGAUAAUGCCUUCCCGCUUCUUUAAAUGGAGAUUGUUACAUGAUUUUUUUUCCUGAAAACAAUCUUCUGAUCUUUCCUGAUCAGUAAUAAUUUCCCUUCCGUUUAAUCACUUGCAUUUACUCUUAUUAAUCAAGUAUUUAUAAUGCUGCAUAUUACUGGGUUCUUACGUCUUGUACUUCUGGAAAUCAUAUGAUGUUCUUUGAUUGUGUUUAUGUGUUUGUUUCUUAGCAAUUACAUUUGUUACUUAUGAGUGUUUGUAUGCUGUUAAUCUUAACUUCUCAGAGCCUUCUUUAUCUAUAGAAAUUGAAGAUCUAAUUUGCCUUUACUUUUUUCAUAUGUCAGUGUGCAUCUGAUUUGCUAUUUUAAAAGGUUAUUGAAGUAAGGAGCCACAUUUGCUUAAAUUGACAAGAGUGAUGCUCAAUUGAACAGGUAAUUUCCAAUCUCCGUUGAACUUGAUGAGUUAGUUAUCUGUUCAUCCCAUUGUCUAAAUAAGUUGAUGUGAAUAAUCUGUUUCUGAUCAUCUUUUAUUUUUACAGUUACUUGGUUAUCCUGGUGAGUGUUCAAGAAGUGAGGCAUGCUGAUAUAUAAAGGCUCUUUUAGAAUAUAGUUUGAUGGUGGUAAUAUGUUAAGUUGCUAUUCUGGCGUGGACAUAUUUCCUGGUUACUUAUUUCUGGUAUAAAAACCCAACCUUGCCAACAUCCAAACCAGUUGCAAUUUUGUUGUUUGCUGGAGUCAUGGCAGCCUUGCUACAUCAGGAGUCCCGGCGCAUGUACUCUUGGUGGUGGGACAGCCACAUUAGCCCGAAGAAUUCAAAAUGGCUUCAGGAAAAUCUUACAGGUAUAUUCCAAUAUCUUCUAUAAUUUUGAUGGGUAACCAUGCUUGAGCAACAGCUGUUUAUGAAUCAUAAUAAUCAUCUAUUUGUCUCACAUACAUACAUUUAUUUGUAUAUGGUUUGUUUGUUUUGAGGAAGUAGCAACUCUCAUUAGUAGUUUAAAAGCAAAGUUAGAUUUCUUCGUGGAUUCCCCAACUUAGUGCGCCCUCAUCACCUGGAAUGUUUAACUGUCCUUACCACAUAAUUUGAAGAUGACUUUGGGUUCAUGUUGAUAAAGAGUAGAUGACUUUCCCUG
rnacentral:lncRNA from 1 species